UACAGAGGUCUCGAGCGUUAGGCGGAAUCACUGGGCUUAAAGCGUGUGUAGGCGGAUCGGUAAGUACCUUGUGAAAUCCCACAGCUUAACUGUGGAACUGCUUGGUAUACUGCCAGUCUUGAGCCAGCUAGGGGCUACCGGAACAAAUGGUGGAGCGGUGAAAUGCGUAGAUAUCAUUUGGAACGCCAAUGAUGAAAACAGGUAGCUGGGGCUGUGCUGACGCUGAGACACGAAAGCCAGGGGAGCAAACGGG
rnacentral:rRNA from 1 species